GACGAACGCUGGCGGCGUGCUUAACACAUGCAAGUCGAACGGAAAGGCCCUGCUUUUGUGGGGUGCUCGAGUGGCGAACGGGUGAGUAACACGUGAGUAACCUGCCCUUGACUUUGGGAUAACUUCAGGAAACUGGGGCUAAUACCGGAUAGGAGCUCCUGCUGCAUGGUGGGGGUUGGAAAGUUUCGGCGGUUGGGGAUGGACUCGCGGCUUAUCAGCUUGUUGGUGGGGUAGUGGCUUACCAAGGCUUUGACGGGUAGCCGGCCUGAGAGGGUGACCGGCCACAUUGGGACUGAGAGACGGCACAGACUACUACGGGAGGAAGCAGGGGGGAAUAUUGCACAAUGGGCGGAAGACUGAUGCAGCAACGCCGCGCGGGAUGACGGCCUUCGGGUUGUAAACCGCUUUCGCCUGUGACGAAGCGUGAGUGACGGUAAUGGGUAAAGAAGCACCGGCUAACUACGUG
rnacentral:rRNA from 1 species